UACGAAGGGGGCUAGCGUUGCUCGGAAUCACUGGGCGUAAAGGGUGCGUAGGCGGGUCUUUAAGUCAGGGGUGAAAUCCUGGAGCUCAACUCCAGAACUGCCUUUGAUACUGAAGAUCUUGAGUUCGGGAGAGGUGAGUGGAACUGCGAGUGUAGAGGUGAAAUUCGUAGAUAUCGUAAGGAAGACCAGUGGCGAAGGCGGCUCACUGGCCCGGUACUGACGCUGAGGUGCGAAAGCGUGGGGAGCAAACAGG
rnacentral:rRNA from 1 species